rnacentral:rRNA from 1 species
AUUGAACGCUGGCGGCAGGCUUUACACAUGCAAGUCGAACGAGUGGCGGACGGGUGAGUAAUGUCUGGGAACGUACCUGGUAGAGGGGGAUAACUACUGGAAACGGUAGCUAAUACCGCAUACUAUCAGAUGUGCCCAUGUGUGAUUAGCUGGUUGGGGGGGUAACGGCUCACCAAGGCGACGAUCCCUAGCUGGUCUGAGAGGAUGAUCAGCCACACUGGAACUGAGACACGGUCCAGACUCCUACGGGAGGCAGCAGUGGGGAAUAUUGGACAAUGGGCGCAAGCCUGAUGCAGCCAUGCCGCGUGUAUGAAGAAGGCCUUCGGGUUGUAAAGUACUUUCAGCGGGGAGGCGUUACCCGCAGAAGAAGCACCGGCUAACUCCGUGCCAGCAGCCGCGGUAAUAC